rnacentral:rRNA from 1 species
UACAGAGGUGGCAAGCGUUGUUCGGAAUUACUGGGCGUAAAGGGCGCGUAGGCGGCCUUCUAAGUCAGACGUGAAAUCCCCCGGCUUAACCUGGGAACUGCGUCUGAUACUGGGAGGCUUGAGUAUGGGAGAGGGAUGUAGAAUUCCAGGUGUAGCGGUGAAAUGCGUAGAUAUCUGGAGGAAUACCGGUGGCGAAGGCGGCAUCCUGGACCAUAACUGACGCUGAGGCGCGAAAGCGUGGGGAGCGAACGGG